rnacentral:rRNA from 1 species
UACGUAGGGUGCGAGCGUGUCCGGAAUUAUUGGGCGUAAAGGGCUCGUAGGCGGUCUGUCGCGUCGGGAGUGAAAACUCAGGGCUUAACCCUGAGCCUGCUUCCGAUACGGGCAGACUAGAGGUAUGGCAGGGGAGAAUGGAAUUCCUGGUGUAGCGGUGAAAUGCGCAGAUAUCGGGAGGAACACCGGUGGCGAAGGCGGUU